rnacentral:rRNA from 1 species
AUUGAACGCUGGCGGCAGGCUUAACACAUGCAAGUCGAGCGGAUUACAGAGCUUGCUCUGUAGUUAGCGGCGAACGGGUGAGUAAUACCUAGGAAUCUGCCUAUUAGUGGGGGAGUAACGUGUGGAAACGCACGCUAAUACCGCAUACGUCCUACGGGAGAAAGACAGGGGAGUCUUCGGACCUUGCGCUAAUAGAUGAGCCUAGGCCAGAUUAGCUAGUUGGUAGGGUAAAGGACCGUACCAAGGCGACGAUCUGUAGCUGGUCUGAGAGGAUGGCCAGCCACACUGGAACUGAGACACGGUCCAGACUCCUACGGGAGGCAGCAGUGGGGAAGUAUUGGACAAUGGGGGCGAACCCUGAUCCAGCCAUGCCGCGUGUGUGAAGAAGGCC